rnacentral:rRNA from 1 species
GACGAACGCUGGCGGCGUGCCUAAUACAUGCAAGUUGAGCGAUGAAGAUUGGUGCUUGCACCAAUUUGAAGAGCAGCGAACGGGUGAGUAACGCGUGGGGAAUCUGCCUUUGAGCGGGGGACAACAUUUGGAAACGAAUGCUAAUACCGCAUAAUAACUUUAAACAUAAGUUUUAAGUUUGAAAGAUGCAAUUGCAUCACUCAAAGAUGAUCCCGCGUUGUAUUAGCUAGUUGGUGAGGUAAAGGCUCACCAAGGCGAUGAUACAUAGCCGACCUGCGAGGGUGAUCGGCCACAUUGGGACUGCGACACGGCCCAAACUCCUACGGGAGGCAGCAGUAGGGAAUCUUCGGCAAUGGACGACAGUCUGACCGAGCAACGCCGCGUGAGUGAAGAAGGUUUUCGGAUCGUAAAACUCUGUUGGUAGAGAAGAACGUUGGUGAGAGUGGAAAGCUCAUCAAGUGACGGUAACUACCCAGAAAGGGACGGCUAACUACGUG